rnacentral:rRNA from 1 species
GACGAACGCUGGCGGCGUGCUUAACACAUGCAAGUCGAACGGUAAGGCCCUUCGGGGUACACGAGUGGCGAACGGGUGAGUAACACGUGGGUGAUCUGCCCUGCACUUCGGGAUAAGCCUGGGAAACCGGGUCUAAUACCGGAUAGGACCACUGCCUGCAUGGGUGGUGGUGGAAAGCUUUUGCGGUGUGGGAUGGGCCCGCGGCCUAUCAGCUUGUUGGUGGGGUGAUGGCCUACCAAGGCGACGACGGGUAGCCGGCCUGAGAGGGUGACCGGCCACACUGGGACUGAGAUACGGCCCAGACUCCUACGGGAGGCAGCAGUGGGGAAUAUUGCACAAUGGGCGCAAGCCUGAUGCAGCGACGCUGCGUGAGGGAUGACGGCCUUCGGGUUGUAACCUCUUUCAGCACCGACGAAGCGCAAGUGACGGUAGGUGCAGAAGAAGGACCGGCCAACUACGUGCCAGCCGCCGCAGUAA